UACAGAGGCCUCGAGCGUUAGGCGGAAUCACUGGGCUUAAAGCGUGUGUAGGCGGACUUCUAAGUACCUUGUGAAAUCCCACGGCUUACCCGUGGAACGGCUGGGUAUACUGGUCGUCUUGAGCCAUCUAGGGGCUACCGGAACAAAUGGUGGAGCGGUGAAAUGCGUAGAUAUCGGAAGGAACACCUGUGGCGAAAGCGGCUCACUGGACCAUUACUGACGCUGAGGCACGAAAGCUAGGGGAGCAAACAGG
rnacentral:rRNA from 1 species